rnacentral:rRNA from 1 species
GACGAACGCUGGCGGCGUGCUUAACACAUGCAAGUCGCACGAGGACGGGAGCUUGCUCCCGAGCCGAGUGGCGGACGGGUGAGUAACACGUGACCAACUUGUCCUAGGGUGAGGGACAACCUGGGGAAACCCGGGCUAAUACCGCAUGAUGUCUCGAGGUCGCAUGGCCAUGAGAUCAAAGAGGGCCUCUGCUUGCAAGCUCUCGCCCUGGGAGGGGGUCGCGGCGUAUCAGCUAGUUGGUAGGGUAACGGCCUACCAAGGCUACGACGCGUAGCGGGUCUGAGAGGACGACCCGCCUCAUUGGGACUGAGAUACGGCCCAGACUCCUACGGGAGGCAGCAGUGGGGAAUAUUACGCAAUGGACGAAAGUCUGACGCAGCGACGCCGCGUGUGGGAGGAAGCUCUUCGGGGUGUAAACCACUGUCAGGAGGGAAGAAACUCGCCGGCCCGAACAGGAACGGCGAUUGACGGUACCUCCAAAGGAAGUGCCGGCUAACUCCGUGCCAGC